AUCAACAAAAUAUGAAAUAAAUGAAAUAUGUCCUCAAAGGUCAAAUCUACUUUGGUGAUAGGUGGAAUUGUUGCAAUAACAGCAGCUGCUUUGUUUCCCAUUGUGAUUUACCCAAAAUUAUAUCCAGAAGUCUAUAGGGACAUUCAAAAGGAAACUAGAAACUCUAUCAACCAAGAGGACAUACAACCAGGAAAUAUGAAAGUGUGGUCAGAUCCUUUCAAAAAGCAGUGAAAAUGGACAUUACAAAGUGAAUAUCAGGAUAUAAAAUACAGUAAAUCUCAGCCAUUUGCAGCAUAUGACUACUGAAAUAAAGAUGGGAAAUGAAGCUUUUCAACACCAGACAUUGUGGAAUAGUGAAUGUUCAUGACAUAUUAAAUAGGAUAUAUUCAGGAUACAAACAGUCAGAAUACAAUUACAUCACAAUGUAGACUAUUCAAACUACUAUCAUUUGUAGACUAAUUAAUCUUGUAAUACUAAUUACAAGAUUUCACUGAAACUAUGCUUUAUUCCAUGAAAUUAUAUGUGUUUGUACAUUAAAAUAACCUUUUUUAUCAAUAGUAAUAAUUUCACUCCAUGUGUAUGAUUGGUAAUAAUUUAAUGAACAUUAUUUUAAUGUGUAGUAUUAAAAUGCACAGACACACUCAGACAGCUAUUGUUCAACAUAAAAUUGUUGAAAGUGCAAUAGCAUGGCAGUUUUUUUUAUUCAUGGCACUAUUAGAGUGAAUAUGCUUAAUUUACAAAAUCAAAACAGUACAAAUUUGUAUUUGAAAUCCUGGAGUUUGGAUUAUGGAAUCCAACAAGGUGAAAACAGUUCUUUUUUUAAUAAAUAUGCACUGAAGA